rnacentral:rRNA from 1 species
GAUGAACGCUAGCGGCAGGCUUAAUACAUGCAAGUCGAACGGCAGCACGGGUAGCAAUAUCUGGUGGCGAGUGGCGCACGGGUGCGUAACGCGUAUGCAACUUACCCUUAACUGGGGAAUAGCCCCGAGAAAUCGGGAUUAAUACCCCAUAACAUCAUGAAGUGGCAUCAUUUUAUGAUCAAAGCUCCGACGGUUAAGGAUGGGCAUGCGUGGCAUUAGCUAGUUGGUGAGGUAACGGCUCACCAAGGCUACGAUGCCUAGGGGUUCUGAGAGGACAUUCCCCCACACUGGUACUGAGACACGGACCAGACUCCUACGGGAGGCUG